UUUUUUUUCUUCCUCCAUGUUAUUCUCAUUGAGCCACUCACCCCCUCAUGUUAACAUCUCGUUGUCGUUCGAUGGUCACCGGAGAAAUCGAGCUGAGAAUUGAGUUACCGAUCCCUCUGUCAUUACUGCAAAUUCUGAACCAACCCAUAUUACUCGAGUUAACCAAACUAAUUCGGGGCGAUCCACUACUCGAGCUGAUCAUGGAAGAUGUUAUGACCAUCAUUAGUUAUUUUGUUGAGUUGUGUCUCUAUCGGUUGUUGCAUUUUAUUUGUGAAUUAUUUAGUUGUCUAGUAUACUUUGUUGAUUGUGAUAUGACAUGUGAUUGACUAGUUUAUGUUUCGGUUAUUAUUUUGUGAAAUCUGAUGUAUGUCAAAUCUCGAAAAAUGUUAUAUGUUGAAUGCUGAUCUGUUGGACAUACAUUUGUGUUAUGUGAAACAUGAUUUUUCAGAUUCGAAUUUUAUGUCAUACAUUCGGGUAUGUGAUUAUGUACUUCUUAUUACAUUCGGAUUAAAUUUCGAAUAUAUGUAUGUUAACAUGUCAUAUUGGGUUGGGAUUGAUAGGAAAAGUUCAGUGCAUUCACUCGACAUGGUAAAUGUUACUUCGGAUUCGGUGGCCUCCUACCUUUAUGGCAGACCCCACUUCGGAUGAUGUGUUAGAGUGGUUCCAGGAAACCUUCUAUUCGAACGGUGAAUUUCUUGAGGGACCAGCUUUAACAUGACUCUCUAGAUUGACGUAUUUCAUCUAGAUCGGGUUAGGAGUUAUAAGGAGCGCUUUAACAAGGUUGAUAGUGAACGAAUUUACUUCUUGCGUCGUGAAAUUGCUACAUCUGUUUAAGGAUCUCCACUAGGAGGAUGAAAGGGAUCAGUAAACAUAUUGAUGGCCUCUAUUUGUUCCGGUC